rnacentral:rRNA from 1 species
UACGGAGGAGGCAAGCGUUAUCCGGAAUUAUUGGGCGUAAAGCGCACGUAGGCGGCUUAGCAAGUCGGAUGUGAAAUCCCUCGGCUCAACCAAGGAAGUGCAUCCGAAACUGCUGAGCUUGAGUACGAAAGAGGAUCGCGGAAUUCCCGGUGUAGAGGUGAAAUUCGUAGAUAUCGGGAGGAACACCAGUGGCGAAGGCGGCGAUCUGGGUCGAUACUGACGCUGAGGUGCGAAAGCGUGGGGAGCAAACAGG